AUUGAACGCUGGCGGCAUGCCUUACACAUGCAAGUCGAACGGCAGCACGGGUGCUUGCCCCUGGUGGCGAGUGGCGAACGGGUGAGUAAUACAUCGGAACAUGUCCUGUAGUGGGGGAUAGCCCGGCGAAAGCCGGAUUAAUACCGCAUACGAUCUACGGAUGAAAGCGGGGGACCUUCGGGCCUCGCGCUAUAGGGUUGGCCGAUGGCUGAUUAGCUAGUUGGUGGGGUAAAGGCCUACCAAGGCGACGAUCAGUAGAUGGCCUGAGAGGACGACCAGCCACACUGGGACUGAGACACGGCCCAGACUCCUACGGGAGGCAGCAGUGGGGAAUUUUGGACAAUGGGCGAAAGCCUGAUCCAGCAAUGCCGCGUGUGUGAAGAAGGCCUUCGGGUUGUAAAGCACUUUUGUCCGGAAAGAAAUCCUUGGCUCUAAUACAGUCGGGGGAUGACGGUACCGGAAGAAUAAGCACCGGCUAACUACGUG
rnacentral:rRNA from 1 species